UUAAAUCAUUAAAUUUAAAAGAUUUGGCGGUAUUUUAUAGAAUUAGAGGAAUCUGUGUAUUAAUUGAUGAUCCACGAUAAGAAAUACUUAAAUAUUUAUGUAUUGCUGUUUUAAAAUUAUUAUUAAUUAAAUAUUUUAGAUAUUAUUUUAAUAUAAUUCAAGUCAAAAUAUAGUUUAAUUAAGAUAUGGGUUACAAUUAAAAUUUGAAAUUGGAUUUAAUAGUAA
rnacentral:rRNA from 4 species